rnacentral:rRNA from 1 species
UGGGGAAUUUUUCGCAAUGGGGGCAACCCUGACGAAGCAAUGCCGCGUGGAUGAUGAAGUAUCUCGGUACGUAAAAUCCUUUCGACGGGGACGAAGCCGCAAGGUUGGCGGUACCCGUAGAAGAAGCCCCGGCUAACUCUGUGCCAGCAGCCGCGGUAAUACAGAGGGGGCAAGCGUUGUUCGGAAUUACUGGGCGUAAAGGGCGCGUAGGCGGCCUGCUAAGUCGAACGUGAAAUCCCUGGGCUCAACCCAGGAACUGCGUCCGAUACUGGUUGGCUUGAAUCCGGGAGAGGGAUGUGGAAUUCCAGGUGUAGCGGUGAAAUGCGUAGAUAUCUGGAGGAACACCGGUGGCGAAGGCGACAUCCUGGACCGGUAUUGACGCUGAGGCGCGAAAGCCAGGGGAGCAAACGGGAUUAGAUACCCCGGUAGUCCUGGCCCUAAACGAUGAAUGCUUGGUGUGGCGGGUAUCGAUCCCUGCCGUGCCGAAGCUAACGCAUUAAGCAUUCCGCCUGGGGAGUACGGUCGCAAGGCUGA